rnacentral:rRNA from 1 species
UAUACUGUGAAACUGCGAAUGGCUCAUUAUAUCAGUUAUAGUUUAUUUGAUAGUCCCUACUACUUGGAUAACCGUAGUAAUUCUAGAGCUAAUACAUGCAGGAGUUCCCGACUUCGGAAGGGAUGUAUUUAUUAGAUAAGAAACCAACUCGCUUUGCGGUUGAGUGCUGAGUCAUACUAACUUUUCGAAUCGCAUGGCUUUAUGCCGGCGAUGGUUCAUUCAAAUUUCUGCCCUAUCAGCUUUCGAUGGUAGGAUAGAGGCCUACCAUGG